ACGGAAGGCAGCAGUGGGGAAUAUUGGGCAAUGGGCGAAAGCCUGACCCAGCGACGCCGCGUGAGCGAAGAAGGUCUUCGGAUUGUAAAGCUCUGUUGACAGGGACGAAGAAGUGACGGUACCUGUCGAGGAAGCCACGGCUAACUACGUGCCAGCAGCCGCGGUAAUACGUAGGUGGCAAGCGUUAUCCGGAUUUACUGGGUGUAAAGGGUGUGUAGGCGGGGGAGCAAGUCAGAUGUGAAAUCUAUGGGCUCAACUCAUAGACUGCGUCUGAAACUGUUCUUCUUGAGAGUCGGAGAGGUAAUUGGAAUUCCCGGUGUAGCGGUGAAAUGCGUAGAUAUUAGGAAGAACACCAGUGGCGAAGGCGGUUAGCUGGACAAUAACUGACGCUGAGGCGCGAAAGCGUGGGUAGCAAACAGGAUUAGAUACCCUGGUA
rnacentral:rRNA from 1 species